rnacentral:misc_RNA from 1 species
GAAGAAGAACGUAGCGAAAUGCGAUAAGUAAUGUGAAUUGCAGAAUUCAGUGAAUCAUCGAAUCUUUGAACGCACAUUGCGCCCAUUAGUAUUCUAGUGGGCAUGCCUGUUCGAGCGUCAUUAAGUCCACUUAAGCCCUGCUUAGUGUUGGGAGACUGCUCCAGCGGUGCUACCCUGUAGCUACCCUGCAGCUCCUCAAAGACAGCGGCGGAGUUGUGGUAUCCUCUGAGCUUAGUAACUUGUUCUAGCUUUCGAGUACACCACUUCCCCUGCCGUAAAACCCUUAAUUUUUAAUGGUUGACCUCGGAUCAGGUAGGAAUACCCGCUGAACUUAAGCAUAUCAAUAAGCGGAGGA